CGUGUAGGCGGUGCGGUAAGUUGGGCGUGAAAUCCCCGAGCUUAACUCGGGUGGGCCGUUCAAGACUGCCGUGCUAGGGUGCGGGAGAGGGAAGUGGAAUUUCCGGUGUAGCGGUGAAAUGCGUAGAUAUCGGGAGGAACACCUGCGGCGAAGGCGGCUUCCUGGACCGUAACCGACGCUGAGACGCGAAAGCUAGGGGAGCAAACAGGAUUAGAUACCCUGGUAGUCCUAGCCCUAAACGAUGAGCACUGGGUGUGGCCCCUCACGGGGCCGUGCCGAAGCUAACGCAUUAAGUGCUCCGCCUGGGGAGUACGGUCGCAAGGCUGAA
rnacentral:rRNA from 1 species